GUAUUCUAUUUUGCGAUCUCCACCUAUAAAAUACAGCAUUUUUAUUACAUUUUGUCUUAUACUGCAUGUAAACAAUCACAAAAGGCUGAAAGAUCAAGAUCUGAACAUAGUUUAAAGACACAAAAUUGCAGGAAAAAUAUUUUGAGAAGCUGUCAGGUGAGAUAUGACACUAAAAUGUAUUCAUUUGGCAGAUGCUUUUAUCCAAAUCAAUUGCAAAUACAGUGCAUUUAAUAUGAGUAUGUGAGUUCACUAGGAAUCAAAUCAAUGAUUUCAGUGUCUAUAGAACAAUACUCUACAAGUUGAACUACUCUUGAGUUUACUAGGUAAAAAAGAUGUGAAAUGUCCCCAUCGGUGUACAUACCUGCUACAUAAUCUCCAAUGCCGACAGUGGUGAGAGUGAUGACGACAAAGUAAAUGGCUUCUAAAGUACUCCAUCCCUCGAUGUGUUUGAAAAUCACCGCUGGGAUGGUGACAAAAAUGAUGCAGCCAGCGAUGAUGAAGAGUAUGGUGGAGGAUGCUCUUUAUAAACAUGGUCCCGAGUUGAUCACCGAUCCCGGCCAACAGGAAGCCAAACAGAGGGAUGCCAAAUAUGGCGUAAAGGAUGCAGAAAAUCUUUCCGCCUUCAGUGCUGGGAGCGAUGUUUCCAUAUCCUGCAGAUGUGGGCGGAGAUGACAAGAGGACUCGCCAAAUGUGUCCUGGUGGGAAGAUUUUUGAGUCAGUCCUGCUCACAGCCAAGAACAACAACACCGACAACAGCCAGCUGGUCUCGCAUGACAGGACGGAGACAUGUCAACAUGACUGGCAUCUAUUCUGGUGAGAUUUAAUGUGAGUUUAAAGACACUUUUUCAAGCUGAAUCUGCAGCAUAAAGAUGCUUUACAUGCCCGAUAAAAUGUUUGUUUCAGAGCCACAUGGAUGAGUUUGUUGGGUUGAUAUUGCAUUGGAAAGAAAAUGUCUAUAAGGUCUCAAUCGUUGGUCCUACAGCAGGAUUAAAUGGAGAGUCUCCUCCUUAUCGGAUGGUUCUCCUGAGAAAAACACCCCAUUAAUCUCAACUUCAGAAGAGAUCUCUCUUCAAAUCAGACAUUAACCUUAUAAAGCCUACUGUAUUAUAUUUGAUACACACAUUUCUAAGGGCUGUAAAUGAUCAACAUGAUCAAAACUUUGCUGAAAAGUCAAUCUCCUACAGUCCUUCUGUCGAUUGAUAGUUGAUGCUUUUUUAGCAAGUGAAAGACCUUUUUAGUGUACAAACGUCCAAUUUACGUGUCUUUUUUUAGCUCUGAAAUCUUUACUGAUUUUACUGAAGUAAAUGUAAGAAUAAUUUUUAUAUUGUUAGUAAUAUUUCAAGAUAAACACUUACUGGAUAAAGCAACUUAAGUUUACUUGAUUAUCCAUCAUUUUAUUGUAAAACCAUGUUCAAAUGUGAGUAUAAAAAAUAUGAAUUUUGAGGAAGGUUUAUUUGUUCAUCUCUCAAUCAUUGCAUUAUAUGUUUUAAAUCUAAAACUAAGCAUUUAAAUAUCAUCUUACUAAGACAUAUUAUUGACAGAUAGAGUGACGAUUGAUAUUUAUAUGCAUUUUAUGUAAGUAUCUGCUAUAUUUGUAUAUUACAGUACAAGCUUUCAGAAUUUCAUCUUACUUUUUGUCCAUAUAAAUAUCAGCAUCUGCACCAAAUUGCUCAUUUUGGGCCUCAUUUUGGCCUUUUUUCCUCCAUAUCAUAUCAUAUCAUAUGAAUGCCUGAUGCCUAUGCAAAAUAACACAAAC